UUUAACUGAAGAGUUUGAUCAUGGCUCAGAUUGAACGCUGGCGGCAGGCUUAACACAUGCAAGUCGAGCGGGGGAAGGUAGCUUGCUACUGGACCUAGCGGCGGACGGGUGAGUAAUGCUUAGGAAUCUGCCUAUUAGUGGGGGACAACAUCUCGAAAGGGAUGCUAAUACCGCAUACGUCCUACGGGAGAAAGCAGGGGAUCUUCGGACCUUGCGCUAAUAGAUGAGCCUAAGUCGGAUUAGCUAGUUGGUGGGGUAAAGGCCUACCAAGGCGACGAUCUGUAGCGGGUCUGAGAGGAUGAUCCGCCACACUGGGACUGAGACACGGCCCAGACUCCUACGGGAGGCAGCAGUGGGGAAUAUUGGACAAUGGGGGGAACCCUGAUCCAGCCAUGCCGCGUGUGUGAAGAAGGCCUUAUGGUUGUAAAGC
rnacentral:rRNA from 1 species